rnacentral:rRNA from 1 species
UCCACGCCGUAAAACGAUGUCGACUUGGAGGCUGUUUCCCUUGAGGAGUGGGCUUCCGGAGCUAACGCGUUAAGUCCGACCCGCCUGGGGAGUACGGCCGCAAGGUUAAAACUCAAAUGAAUUGACGGGGGCCCGCACAAGCGGUGGAGCAUGUGGUUUAAUUCGAUGCAAACGCGAAGAACCUUACCUACUCUUGACAUCCACGGAAUUUGGCAGAGAUGCCUUAGUGCCUUCGGGAACCGUGAGACAGGUGCUGCAUGGCUGUCGUCAGCUCGUGUUGUGAAAUGUUGGGUUAAGUCCCGCAACGAGCGCAACCCUUAUCCUUUGUUGCCAGCGAUUCGGUCGGGAACUCAAAGGAGACUGCCGGUGAUAAACCGGAGGAAGGUGGGGAUGACGUCAAGUCAUCAUGGCCCUUACGAGUAGGGCUACACACGUGCUACAAUGGCGCAUACAAAGAGAAGCGACCUCGCGAGAGCAAGCGGACCUCAUAAAGUGCGUCGUAGUCCGGAUCGGAGUCUGCAACUCGACUCCGUGAAGUCGGAAUCGCUAGUAAUCGUGGAUCAGAAUGCCACGGUGAAUACGUUCCCGGGCCUUGUACACACCGCCCGUCACACCAUGGGAGUGGGUUGCAAAAGAAGUAGGUAGCUUAACCUUCGGGAGGGCGCUUACCACU